rnacentral:rRNA from 1 species
UUGAACGCUGGCGGCAUGCUUUACACAUGCAAGUCGAACGGCAGCGGGGGCUUCGGCCUGCCGGCGAGUGGCGAACGGGUGAGUAAUGCAUCGGAACGUACCCUAUCGUGGGGGAUAACACAUCGAAAGAUGUGCUAAUACCGCAUACGACCUGAGGGUGAAAGCGGGGGAUCGCAAGACCUCGCGCGACAGGAGCGGCCGAUAUCGGAUUAGCUAGUUGGUGGGGUAAAGGCUCACCAAGGCGACGAUCUGUAGCUGGUCUGAGAGGACGACCAGCCACACUGGGACUGAGACACGGCCCAGACUCCUACGGGAGGCAGCAGUGGGGAAUUUUGGACAAUGGGGGAAACCCUGAUCCAGCCAUGCCGCGUGCAGGAUGAAGGCCUUCGGGUUGUAAACUGCUUUUGUACGGAACGAAAAGAUCUCUUCUAAUAAAGGGGGUUCAUGACGGUACCGUAAGAAUAAGCACCGGCUAACUACGU